ACGAACGCUGGCGGCAUGCCUAACACAUGCCAGUCGAACGAGACCUUCGGGUCUAGUGGCGCACGGGUGCGUAACGCGUGGGAACCUGCCCUUAGGUUCGGAUUAACUCCCCGAAAGGGGUGCUAAUACCGGAUAAUGUCUUCGGACCAAAGAUUUAUCGCCUUUGGAUGGGCCCGCGUUGGAUUAGCUAGUUGGUAGGGUAAAAGCCUACCAAGGCGACGAUCCAUAGCUGGUCUGAGAGGAUGAUCAGCCACACUGGGACUGAGACACGGCCCAGACUCCUACGGGAGGCAGCAGUGGGGAAUAUUGGACAAUGGGCGAAAGCCUGAUCCAGCAAUGCCGCGUGAGUGAUGAAGGCCUUAGGGUUGUAAAGCUCUUUUACCCGGGAUGAUAAUGACAGUACCGGGAGAAUAAGCUCCGGCUAACUCCGUG
rnacentral:rRNA from 1 species